rnacentral:rRNA from 1 species
CACGGGUGAGUAACGCGUAGAUAACCUGUCUUCAUGUCUGGAAUAAUACGCCGAAAGGGGUCUAAUACCGGAGUAUCUUGCUUUUCAUAAGUUAUGCAAGCAAAGGUGGCCUCUGCAUAUGGCUACUGCAUGAAGAGGGGUCUGCGUACCAUUAGCUAGUAGGUGGGGUAAUGGCCUACCUAGGCGACGAUGGUUAGCGGGUCUGAGAGGAUGAUCCGCCACACUGGCACUGGAACACGGGCCAGACUCCUACGGGAGGCAGCAGUGAGGAAUAUUGCGCAAUGGGGGAAACCCUGACGCAGCGACGCCGCGUGAGUGAGGAAGGCCUUCGGGUCGUAAAGCUCUGUCAAGAGGAAAGAAGUGUACAAUGGCUAAUACCUGUUGUAUUUGACGGUACCUCUAAAGGAAGCACCGGCUAACUCCGUGCCAGCCGCCGC